UACGUAGGUGGCAAGCGUUGUCCGGAUUUACUGGGCGUAAAGGGCGUGCAGGCGGUCUGUUAAGUGCAGGGUGAAAGCUCCCGGCUCAACUGGGAGAGGUCCUUGCAUACUGGCGGGCUUGAGGGGGGUAGAGGAAAGUGGAAUUCCCGGUGUAGUGGUGAUAUGCGUAGAUAUCGGGAGGAACACCUGUGGCGAAGGCGGCUUUCUGGGCCCUACCUGACGCUGAGACGCGAAAGCGUGGGGAGCGAACCGG
rnacentral:rRNA from 1 species